CAAUGACUCUUUUUCCUCCUCCUCUCUUCCAGUCCAGUUACCAUAGCACCAUGUAACCAUGGUAGGAUAAUUUUGGUGGAAUAUUCACACGUGGAUUUAAGAUUCAGUCCUUACUUUAUUUGUGAAGCAAGCAAUCUGAUUCACGUUAGCAUUCUGGACAAUCUCUAAUGGACUAUAAAUUCCUGGCCUCCCAUGCUCUAUUCAACACCAAGAGAAAGCCUCCUGAGGAAAUGACUCUCAAGGGAUUUUUUUUUCCAUCCAGAAAGUACGGGCAGCUAGAGUAAUGAAAAGUUGUGAAACAAACAAACAAACAAACCCUCCAUCAUGUCACAGUGAUAAAAAUAAAUUCCAAAAUACCACCGAAAGACAUUUGAAAGAUGUUCUAAAGUUCUCUGAGAAAGAAGGGGAAGGGUUAGAAGGAAACCAUCCUUAUUUUAUCAAGGGAAACAAUGUUUUGGGAAACUGGGCAAAUAUAUUUUAUCACAGUGCUAUUUUUUAUUUUAGACCAAAGGCAGGUGAUCAUGAAAAAGAAAAGGGCUGUCAUAGUACAAAUAAAAAUGAAAGCUUUUUGAAGGGCAUCUUUAUUUUCUGUUCUUCAUACUAGAACUAAAAGCUAACUAAUGAAAUGGAUUACUAGGAAGUUAAGAACAAAGAAUAUAAUAAUUUUAAAUAUUGUCUAAAAUGCAUGAAGGAAUCAUAAAUUAUACUGUGCAUGUGUUCAAACUCAUACUAUAUGUAAGUAGAAUGCCAUUAUAGGAGACCAUAAACAGAAACAUUGUCUCUGC